rnacentral:rRNA from 1 species
UACGUAGGGGGCAAGCGUUGUCCGGAAUUAUUGGGCGUAAGGGGUUCGCAGGCGGUCUGAUAAGUCAGAUGUGAAAGGCAAUGGCUCAACCAUUGUAAGCAUUUGAAACUGUCAGACUUGAGUUAAGGAGAGGAAAGUGGAAUUCCUAGUGUAGCGGUGAAAUGCGUAGAUAUUAGGAGGAAUACCAGUGGCGAAGGCGACUUUCUGGACUUAUACUGACGCUGAGGAACGAAAGCGUGGGGAGCAAACAGG